rnacentral:misc_RNA from 1 species
GAUGAAGAACGCAGCGAAAUGCGAUACGUAAUGUGAAUUGCAGAAUUCAGUGAAUCAUCGAAUCUUUGAACGCAUAUUGCGCUCUCUGGUAUUCCGGAGAGCAUGCUUGUUUGAGUAUCAGUAAACACCUCAACUUCCAUAUCUUUUUUUGAAAUGGGAGUUGGACUUGAGUGAUCCCAACGCUUUUCCUCACCGAAAAGUGGCGGGUUACUUGAAAUGCAGGUGCAGCUGGACUUUUCUCUGAGCUAUAAGCAUAUCUAUUUAGUCUGCCUAAAAAACAGAUUAUUACCUUUGCUGCAGCUAACAUAAAGGAGAUUAGUUCUUGUGCUGACUGAUGCAGGAUUCACAAAGACAGCUUCGGCCGACUUUGUAAACUCGAUCUCAAAUCAAGUAAGACUACCCGCUGAACUUAAGCAUGUCAAUAAGCGGAGGA